CAGAGCUGAGGAGGGCUGAGGGAGCUGGAUGAAACUGCUUUCAGUGCUCUUUUUGUGGGAAACACUGAAAUAUUUCCACUGAGAUUAAAGUUGCAGUCUCUCUGUGUGCCAGG
rnacentral:lncRNA from 1 species